CUUAUUGAGAGUUUGAUCCUAGCUCAGGGUGAAUGCUGGCGGCGUGGAUAAGUCAUGCAAGUCAAGGGGGUCCGCAAGGACAACCGGCAAACGAGGUAGUAACACGUAGGUACGUCCCCCGAAGUCGGGCAUAGCCAGCCGAAAGGUUGGGUAAUUCCCGAUAGUCCCGUAAGGGUAAAGGUUUUUCGCUUUGGGAGCGGCCUGCGUAGUAUCAGCUAGUUGGUAGGGUAACGGCCUACCAAGGCUACGACGCUUAGGGGGGGUGAGAGCCUGAUCCCCACCGAUGGAACUGCGACACGGUCCAUACUCCUACGGGAGGCUGCAGACGAGAAUAUUCCGCAAUGGACGAAAGUCUGACGGAGCGACGCCGCGUGAUGGAUGAAGUGCUUUGGUACGUAAACAUCUUUUAUCGGGGACGAAGUUUAUUGACGGUACCCGAUGAAUAAGGGGCUCCUAACUCUGUGCCAGCAGGAGCGGUAAUACAGAGGCCCCAAGCAUUACC
rnacentral:rRNA from 1 species